UCCUUCCAAGUUGUUUAUGGCUUGCUGUUGAAAAAGUUCCUUUCAAUCUGUCAUUUAAAGCUGAUUUUAGUUUUACUUUAAAAUGAUUUGUUUUUCAAGUAUGAGGUGUUACUAUUCCAGUUGUAUAGUUGAUUAUCACUUUUUGUGUCACCUAAAAGACUUGACCAAAAAACCAAAAGCAAAAGAACCUCAGAAGUUACAUUUUUUAAUUCGUUGUGUAUUUAAAAUUGUCUUUUUUUUUUUUUUUUCUUUUUCAGUUCCCAGCUUGAGCUGAAAAACUGACCACUGUAUACUGAUAUUAAAUGUUUGGAAACGAGAAAUUCAGAGGACUGUAUAACAGCAUCAGUGUAACAGACCUCCUGUGUAUAUUUGAACCUAUUGGUCAGUGGCUGCUUAAGACCUUUCUGAUGCUGAAGGUCUGAUGUCAUGUUCCAAGUGACUUAUGCAGUCAGCAGUGCAGAUAUGUCAGGAGAGCUGUAAUUGCAGAAGACAGAAAAUAUUAGUUAGUUGGUCUUUUAGAAGUAAUUCUUUUAUGUAGCUUUCAUAGUCUUAAAAUGAGCUGGAAACACAAUAAAUAUCCAUCAUUAGCACUAUUGCCAUCCUUGCUUUUCCUAACUUUUGAGCUGCUGUUAGUUUUGUUUUUCAGACUGAGGAAAUGGGAGGGUGAAUUUGGGAAGUGAAGUCGACAGGAAGCUGACACUGUGCUGAUAAAGUAAAGGCAGGCUUUGCAGUUGUGCCAAGUUCUGUAGCUUCACUGCUGAAGUGCUUGCAGGCCACCUAUAUGUGAAAAUGGACAAGGAUUUGGAAAAGCCCUCGAGGUGUAUCUGUGCUGGAUAUGGAACUGAGUUAUUUCUGUCAGAUGUAUCCUCCUGGGUCUUUUUUGUUCAGGAGGUCCUCAAGUGCUGUGGAAAAAUAGAUGAGUGUCAAUAAUGGAUUUGAACAUGAGCUGCCAACAAGCUGGAUGAACUGUUUGUCUGUCACAUUCACUGAAUAUCCUGAAGUAUCCUUGACAAGAAAGUUGCUGAAUCACAUCACUGUGCAGAGUACAUUCCUCAAAUGGCCUUUCUCUAAUGAUGGAAAAAAAAAUAAGCAAAAAAGAAAGCAGAAGCAAACCUGCAUUAAAAGUCAAAUGAUGAACCAACCAUAUUAUGAGGAAAAGCACUGCUCUAUUACUUUGGCUGUAGGUGUUGGAAGAUGAAAUUCUGCUCAUCUUCCAGGCAAGCAAAUCCCCAUCCUGAAAUGUGCAGAUAAACUGCUAAAAUGCUGGGACAGAUAGAUUGGGGGAAACACUAAGAAAUUCCAGACUUCCUGUAUGGCACCAAGUGUGAACACAAAGAAGAGGGGUGAACAGAAGGACGGGUCAUCACUUAAGGUUGUAAACUCCUCUUGCUAAGGAAAAGAAGGCGGCCUGCUCCCUCUAUAGGCUUCCCUGGUUGUUGCUUUCACAAACCAGCUGUCCAGGAGAUCAGAGCUGCAUGCUUUUGAAGACUGUCAAAAAUGCUGAAGUGAGAGGACUCUGGCUCCUCAGUUGCACCAGCACUGCAAUUUCUGGCAUCGUUCUGGUAAGAAAAGCAACCUGUAUUAAGAACAACUCUGUAAAUAAAAAACCUAUUUGUAAUUUGGAUCAGCUCAGUGACCUGAUUUUGAGCACAAACCCUGAAACAGUAGCAGAGAAGCAUGAGUGUGAAGAAGCAGCCAGAGGCAAGGCAGGGAAGGGAGACAGACGUUCCCAAGCUGUCCUUGCAGCUGAAGUCCCCCUUUUGUAUAACUGCAGCUGCCGGUGUACCUUUGCUCUGGCACAGAUAUCAAAGGGAAUUCCCCUGCGCUGCCUGAAGUAACACUUUAGGGAAAAACUGACACAUUGGUGAGUUAUAUAUUAACCAUUAUAGAGAGUGGCAGUAUGAAAAGGCAGUGAGUUACAGAUAAAAAAAAAGAGCAACAUAUCCAUUAUGCAGGGCAUGGGUAAGAGCUCCUAGGAAAAAACAGCCCAGCUUUUUCCACUAAAUUAUACUGUUUUCAAUUCUACCAUACUUUCAGAAAUGUGACUAUAUUGUUCAGAUGUUUUCCAUGUUAAUAAAUGCCUCUGAGUGUUUCUUGUGGGUAGCUGAGGGGAGAAGGCAGGAAAUGUUUUAGCUAAAAUGAUGCAGCUAUUUCCAAGGAAGUGUCAGAAGAGCAGUAUACAAGAUUUCAGGAGUUACAGAAAAAAAAUAAUCGUAGCAGUCAUUCAGCACUGCGCUCAGUUUUCCUUCCCAAGCUCUGACCUUGCUCUAUGUUCAGCAUUAUCAGAGAUCUGCUGCAAUGAAGUUUAGGUUCUUAUGUCUCUUAGGACACAAAUUAAUUGCUUUAACUUAAGUUUAAAAGCAGAACCUUGCCAGAGAUGACAAAUGGGAGUAUUAUAUAUCACCAGUAAAAUGACUUAUGUUUUAUUUGUCUUUGAAGUUCCUGGUGAAAGCUGAAGCAUAAUGGUGAAAGAAAAAAAUAAUUGAAGUUACAUAACACCUCACAUAUGGAAUUGAUAAUGCUCUGUUUUUACAUGGAAUACAUCGCUUUUCAGUGGUUAUAUACAUAUAUAUCUCUCUAUAUAUAAUGAAGAUGAUUCUAUUUGCUGUCCAAUAUGUGCUGGGCAUUUAUUCAGGAGAUUCAGGAGAUUUAAAUUUUUUGACUGAAGAUGAGAUUUUUUUAAUAGAAUAUUCUUCUUUCAGUCAGUGUAUUCUGCUAAUAAUGAAAAGAACCCUGUCCAUGUUUCAAGUCAAUGGUUUCAUUGUCUAGAGACAUCACAACUGACCUUCAAAACCAAGAAAUGAUCCUUGCUUUAGACUAAAACACCAUCUUUUUGAAUUGAAAAAAAAACAAACCCAAACUAAUGCCCCCCCCCCCUUUUUUUUUAUUUUUUAUUUUUCCCAAAGCACUUCUUAUUUCAGUAGUAAUAUAUUUCCUUAAAGUUGUGUGCUUGGAAUUGAGUUGCGCGAAAUUUAUGUGGCCAAGGCUUUAAGCACUCUUACAUAAUGAAUAAUACAACCAAAAUCCCUGAGGUCUUAUCAGGAACUGAGUUAGACAGGCACUUAGAGAGACCCUUUUUCUACUCCCAAUACUAUGGGAAGUGUACUCUGCACUUGACAAGGUGAAAUAAAAAGGGAUUCAGAUAAGGAUGGUAACAAAUACUAAUGCUUACAGGAGAGUUGAGGGUAGGCCAUGUUCAGGACAGGAUAUUGCUCAAGUGUAUUUGGGAAGAAAAGUACUGACAGGGAUUUUCUCUCCACCCCUUAGAUCUGCUGAUCUCUUAAUGUGGGUCAGGGUUGCCCUGGCAUGUGGAGGCUGCAUCUCCUUUCAUCCCACCCUGACCUCUUGAAGAAGACAGAGGCAGGAGUAAGGGAGAUGAAUGAUUUUGCUUAAGUAGCUGGUGCUGGCUGCCAGGGAGGCAAACUAUGACAGGACAAAAGUGGUGAAAGGCAAAAGGGGUAGGCAGGAUUAGGUCAAAAGAAAGGCUAAGCAAACCCAGAGAGAAAAACAUUUAGGCAAAGGUUUAGCCCAGGGAUGAGUGAAGCAGAGUUUCAAUUGAAUUGAUAAAACCCAGGAUACAAGUGUACUUAGGAAAAGCAUGAUUGUUGUUUGGGUGCAAGGGCAUUGUCUGUAUACUAACAUUGCAGAUACUGAUCAUCUCUAAGCUGGUGCCAGAGGUCUGUCACACACACCAAUUUGGAAUUGCUGCUAGUUUUCUGAGUACAGUGUGUACAGAUGAUUAUUACAAGCUUGCAGUAAGAAGCACACAAGUUAUGUUUGUACCUGUUAUUCAGACUCCAAGGAAAGGGUAAAGAAAUGUGGGUCUUUUAUGUGACAAUUUUGAUCGGUCUCAUCAGAAAAAAAACCCCAAACAAACAAAAACAACAAAACUUUGUACUUGCCCAUAAAUCAAACACCUGUUGUGAUUCAAAUACAACAACAUCAAUUUCCGCUUGUUGUAAAUGUCUUGCAUGCAGGCUUUGGCAACAUCAUUUCUCCUCACAGGAAGAAGACUGUAAGACAACCCAGCAUUACCUUUCAGAGGGUUGUGCCAUCAUGCUACUGUAUUGUACCACCAGGGUGUUGCAAAGAAUGCCUUGUAAUGUGGAGCUACCCAAACCUAACAAGGCUUGGGAGCGACGUAUUCAUUACUAUAUGUGUGACCUCAUCUUCAAAGGAAGAUUAGCAUUAGCUAAUGCUAAUCUUAAGCAUUACAACAACCUAAGAUGAUGGAAAAGGAGGAGUUGGUUUAAAAUUAAUUUCAGUGACAACAGGAUUCAAUAAAAA